rnacentral:rRNA from 1 species
CAGCAGCCGCGGUAAUACGUAGGUGGCAAGCGUUGUCCGGAAUUAUUGGGCGUAAAGGGCUCGCAGGCGGUUUCUUAAGUCUGAUGUGAAAGCCCCCGGCUCAACCGGGGAGGGUCAUUGGAAACUGGGAAACUUGAGUGCAGAAGAGGAGAGUGGAAUGCCACGUGUAGCGGUGAAAUGCGUAGAGAUGUGGAGGAACACCAGUGGCGAAGGCGACUCUCUGGUCUGUAACUGACGCUGAGGAGCGAAAGCGUGGGGAGCGAACAGGAUUAGAUACCCCCGUAGUCCCUGUCUCUUAUAA